rnacentral:rRNA from 1 species
CCUACGGGUGGCUGCAGUGGGGAAUAUUGGACAAUGGGCGAAAGCCUGAUCCAGCCAUGCCGCGUGUGUGAAGAAGGCCUUCGGGUUGUAAAGCACUUUCAGUGGGGAAGAAAGCCUUGGGGCUAAUACCCUCGAGGAAGGACAUCACCCACAGAAGAAGCACCGGCUAACUCCGUGCCAGCAGCCGCGGUAAUACGGAGGGUGCGAGCGUUAAUCGGAAUUACUGGGCGUAAAGCGCGCGUAGGCGGUCUGAUAAGCCGGUUGUGAAAGCCCCGGGCUCAACCUGGGAACGGCAUCCGGAACUGUCAGGCUAGAGUGCAGGAGAGGAAGGUAGAAUUCCCGGUGUAGCGGUGAAAUGCGUAGAGAUCGGGAGGAAUACCAGUGGCGAAGGCAGCCUUCUGGACUGACACUGACGCUGAGGUGCGAAAGCGUGGGUAGCAAACAGGAUUAGAUACCCGUGUAGUC